rnacentral:rRNA from 1 species
UACGGGGGGGGCAAGCGUUGUUCGGAAUUACUGGGCGUAAAGGGCUCGUAGGCGGCCAACUAAGUCGGAUGUGAAAUCCCCAAGCUUAACUUGGGAACUGCAUCCGAUACUGGAUGGCUUGAAUCCGGGAGAGGGAUGCAGAAUUCCAGGUGUAGCGGUGAAAUGCGUAGAUAUCUGGAGGAACACCGGUGGCGAAGGCGGCGUUCUGGACUGCUACUGACACUGAGGAACGAAAGCGUGGGGAGCGAACAGG